rnacentral:rRNA from 1 species
GACGAACGCUGGCGGCGUGCUUAACACAUGCAAGUCGAACGGUGAAGCGCUUUCCUUUUUGGUUGGUGUGGAUGAGUGGCGAACGGGUGAGUAACACGUGAGUAACCUGCCCCCUUCUUCUGGAUAACCGCAUGAAAGUGUGGCUAAUACGGGAUAUUCUGCGCCUGCUGCAUGGUGGGUGUGGGAAAGAUUGUGCCUUUGGGUGUGUUCGGUGGGGGAUGGGCUCGCGGCCUAUCAGCUUGUUGGUGGGGUGAUGGCCUACCAAGGCGGUGACGGGUAGCCGGCCUGAGAGGGUGGACGGUCACACUGGGACUGCGACACGGCCCAGACUCCUACGGGAGGCAGCAGUGGGGAAUAUUGCACAAUGGGCGCAAGCCUGAUGCAGCGACGCCGCGUGAGGGAUGGAGGCCUUCGGGUUGUGAACCUCUUUCGCCAGUGAAGCAGGCCUGCUCCUUGUGGGUGGGUUGACGGUAGCUGGAUAAGAAGCGCCGGCUAACUACGUG